GGCUGGUCCGAAGGUAGUGACUUAUCUCAUUUGAUUGUUCACAGUCAGAGAAUGAACUCGUUGUUCAACUACUUUCCGCCCUCCUCACUACUGCACUUUAGUCUUUA
rnacentral:Y_RNA from 1 species